UCAUUUUCUUCUAUCCUUCUUUUCGUUCUCUCUUUCUCCCCGUCUCUUUCAUCUCACCACAAAAAACCCAUCUGCGUCGCCCUUUCUCACUCCUCCGAUCGCAGGCAACCCUAAACUCACCUUAACCACCCAUAACUGUUACUGAUAGGCGACCUGCCUCUUCUUUGCCCACCUAUUGUAUAAACUGUAAAGUCAAUAUGUGAAAUUUUCUCCGUCUCAAGGGGCUGUGUUUAUGCUUAUAAAGAUUUAGAAACGACUCUUUAUCGUCGACUGACUUCUCUUCAUCACAAGACUAAUUAGAUUUGCUACCCCUGCUGCUCUAACUGCUACUUUCAUUGGUGACUUCAUCGUCUCAGACUCUGCACUUUGAUCGAGGAAUACUUUUAAAAAGAAACACAGCUUUUGCCGAAACGAGGUAAGGUACACUCAUCUGCUUAUUUUCAUCAGAAAAGUUAUUUGAUGCAGUUCUAAUGGUGCCAAAAUCAAAUUGCAAAGAUUCUGCACUGAUAAUUUCUUUAUCCAUAGCUACGACGAACAAGUAAUUAUUAUCACUAAAGGUUGAAGUUAAUAUAUAUGGCUGAAUUAGCAAGUAUAAAAAGAAAGAAAUAAAUAAAUAAUCUAUUCCUAUAUAAUUGUUGGAAAGACGUUUAAUCUUACUUUCAACAGUUUCCUUCCUCUUUCUAGCUCUCAAAAAAAAGUAGACGUAAAUGAUAAGUAUCACAACACUGGCAGAUGGAAUAACGACAACGAUGACAAUUCGAGAUGUGUUGUUCUUAUUUCCUGCAAAAAAAGCAAACAUCUGAUUUCAUAACAAGACUUGCUGAUUAAUUAAGUCCUGAAUUAAAAAAAAAAAAAAAGAACAACAAUUUGGAACAAUGAAAAGAGACAAAAAAGAAGACAUAGAUAUGGAGCAUAUAUAAAAUGAUUUGACUCAAUAGAUUUGAAGUAGAUUAUAGGUGUUUUACCCGUUGAGUUUGUGGUUUCAUUGGAGGGCAGAGGAAGAGGAAGAGGAGAUGUCUUUGUGGUUUCAUUAGAGGGUAGAAAAGCUAAGUUGACAAAGGAGAUAGGUAAGAUGCUGGGUAUGGUUGCAAGUUGCAAUGAUGAUGAUGCGAUUCAGAAAUUGAGGGAAUUAGAGGCUGAAGACAAGCGAUUGACUUGAGUGUUAAGGUUCCCAGAUUGAACUGGUAAGCAAUUUUGAUUUGGUGUUUUUUUUUUUUUUUGCGAUUCUCAGGAGCUGGUUCUUUAGUUUUGGGGCAAUCGAAAUUCUUAUCGUGGAAUAUUGAGGAUUAGGAAUUUCGGCAAAAUGGGGAUUGUUAAGAAAUAUGGUUAAUUUUCAUAAAGUAGACAUGGUACUAAGUUCAGGAAACUAACUUUAGGAGAUUUCAAAUGAAAGGAUUCAAAGGAUAUGGCUUGAUGCAAAUUAUAGCAAGUGCUUCUUGACUACAGUUGGAAAUUCGGGUGGAUUGUUAAUGAUUUGGGACAAGGUUAUAACUUUAAUGUUUAAUUUGCUGGCUAAGUACUUUUCAAUACUCAACUAAUUUACAGCUAUCAACAAGAUUUUAACUUUAAGAAAAGAUACAACAAAAGUGCUUCCAUCAAUUUGUUGAGUUAAUUUUUUGAAAAUCUCAAUUUGAAGGUUUUUCUUAUGAAUGCAUAACAGUAUUUAUAAUAUCACUCAAAUAUCCCAUAUGGGAGGAUCAAUUUGGAUUUUAUAUAUUUAUAUAGUUGCUGCCACCCCAUUGCAUUUUAGUACUUGAUUAAUUGUCAUAUUUGGCAAAGACUAUUUAUAUUGUUUGCAAAUCCUAUAGAUGGUUAUCAUUUACUACUAAAUUCUAUACUCUUCCAAUAACUUGUUUGGCAUGUUUCUCGCAAAAGAAUUUACCGCACAUGUUUCUAACAACUUGUUUGGCAUUAUUGUUUGAUCCCAAAAUUGAAUUAUUAUUUUGAUUUGUGUUUUUUUUUUUUUUUUGGUUAUAAAAAACUAAACAUGUUAUCAACCACAUCAGAUAUCUCCUCUGUAGUAUUUCAGUCGAUAACAAAUUCUUUUGCUAGUCGAAUUAUGUUAGAUGAUGAUAAUGAUGAUAAUGAUUCAAUGAAUAAAACUUUAGAUGCUACUAAUGGUAACACAAAUAAAAUACCAGUCACCAAUACCAAUGAUAGAGAAUGUGAUAAUGCUAACCCUAAAGAGUGUGAGGAAGGUAAUGAGAAAAAGAUGCAAAAAAUCUGAUGUUUGGUUGGAGUUUAAAAAAGUCAGUUUUCCUGAUGGUUCUAAAAAAAAGAAUGUGUCCAUUGCAGAAAAAGUUAGCAAUAAAUGCAAGUAAAAAUACAACUCAAUUUAAUAGGCACUUGAUAACUUAUGUUAGGCGAAAAAGUUUUCAGAAUCAAUAACAAAUGAUCAAUUUCUAGCCAAUAGACACAUGUGAUGAUGUAUAGAUAUUACCUGCUCUCACAGAUGACAAGUUUGAUAUGGCAAAGAUGAAAGAAACAGCUGCAUAUUGGAUACUUAUGCACGAGAAUCCUUUUUCAAUUAUGGAAGGUGAAGGCUUUAACAUAAUGCAAAAACGUAUGAUGCUUGAAUGAGAAAAGAUAUCACGCAAUACUAUUAAAGAUUGCAUGCAAGUUUAUAAAGCAAAAAAGAAGAAAUUAAAGGUACUAUUGAAGGCUGUCAACAAUAUUAGUUUGCCAAUAGAUUUGUGAAAGUCAAGUAAUCAAAAAAUUGAGUACAUAGUUCUUACAGCACACUUUAUAGAUUAUAAUUGAAGAUUGCAAAAGCGCAUUAUUAGCUUUAUUCACAUACCUCAUCCUCGUUACGAUGUUGAGAUUGUCGAUUAUAUUUUUAAGUGUCUAAAAGAAUGAGGAAUUGAAAACAAGGUGUUUACAUUUUCUGUGGAUAAUGUUUUAAGUAAUGAUGUAACAAUUAGAAUUCUUAAAGACAUUUUUUUAAGAAAUAAAAGGUUAUUUGGUGAAGAAAAAUUAUUUUAUAUUCGAUGUUGUAUACACAUUAAAUUUCAUGGUUCAAGAUGAUCUUUUUAAGAUUAAGAAUGUGAUUGGUCAUGUUCAUGAAACUGUUAGUUUUAUUAAUAAGAAUGAGGCAAGACUUAACUGAUUUUUUAACAUAGUACAAUAAUUAUAGUUGCCUGAUAGGAAACUCAUUCUCAAUUGUAAAACAUAUUGGAAUUCAACAUUCGAGAUGUUGUCGACUACAAUCAAAUUCAAAUAAGUGUUUUCAAGACUCAAAGAACAAGAAUUUCAUUACGAAUAUUGUCUAAGUUAUGAAGAUUGGGAAAAUGUGGAGAAAGUUUGUGAGAUUUUAGAAGUUUUUAAUUCAGUUACUAAAAUCAUCUCUAGAAAUGAUUAUCCAACUUUAAACCUAUUUCUAAAUGAAGUUUAUUGUGUGAAAGUGUUGUUGGAUAAAAGGAUGAAUGAUGAAAAUGAAUUUAUUCAAGCAAUGGUUUGCAAAAUGAAAAGUAAAUUUGAUAAGUAUUAAGGAAACUGUUAUUUGGUAAUGGCUAUAGCAGUUAUUUUGGAUCCAAUGUGCAAAAUAAGGGUGGUCGAGUUUUGUUUUCCUCGAAUGUACCUUGAUAGAAAAGUAAGAGAAAAUAUUACUAGAGUUCAAGAUGUUCAUUUUUAAAUUUAUGAGGAAUAUGUGCGUGAGUAUCAAUUUAGCAAUAAGCAUAGUACUGAAACUCAAGCGCAUGAUAGUGGUAUUAGUGGUAUGAAUAUAAAAGCUUUUUCUUUUGGUUGGUCUGAAUUUACAAAUUAUGUAAAAUUAGUUGAAACUGUUCAAUCAUAACAAUUUAAUCUAAAAAACUACCUAGUUGAAGGUUGCUUUAUCUGUAAAAAAGAUUCAUCUAAGUUUGAUGUUUUGAAAUGGUAGAAAGUGAGCACUUUGAAGUACUGUAUUUUAUCGAAGAUGGCUUGCGAUAUACUUGCUAUUCUUAUCACUACAAUGGCUUUAAAGGCUACCUUUAGUGCAGGAGGUGGAGUUAUUGAUACUUAUUAUGUUUCUUUAGCUCUUGACACAAUACAAGCAUUACUUUGUGGAAGAGAUUGGUAUCGAAAUCUUCAUGGAGUGAAGAAUAAGAACAAAGUGAAUUUUUUUAUUAUUGUUAUUUUGUUAUUGGGUAAUUAUCAUUGCUUUAAUAUAAUUUUUAACUAUUAUUUUCUUUUACUUUAUCUAUAUACAAAAGAAAAAAAUCAAUUGAGAUUGCACUCAAAAUCCCCUAAAGUGAAGAUAUCUAGUGUCUUCUAUACAGAUAUGAAAUAUUAUUAUUAAAUACCUUUAAUUUGUCACAAUAUUACCAAAGAAAAAUAGGUGAUAGCUAGUUUAGAUUGAGCUUUUUGCAUUAUAGUUUACGAACCAUAGGUUAACUAAUGAUAAAAACUUAUGUUAAGGAUAUUAUUUUCAUUGUUUAUUAUAAUUUGUUUGUUUUGUAAUUACUCUUUUGUGUAGGUUUGUUGAAAAACAAUAUGAGCCCAAUGUUCAUUUGAAGACAUAAUAUUAUGAAUGCAACAUAUAUAUUGUUGUUAGUUUGUUGUAAUUUAUUUGUGGACUUAUUUGCUUAGAUAUUAAAUUUUUUUCAAUUAGGAUUUAAUUUCUAAGUUUCAUUAUGUCUUUUAUUUGUGUGUUGUAUUUGAAUCAUUUGUUG
rnacentral:lncRNA from 1 species